rnacentral:rRNA from 1 species
AGAGUUUGAUCAUGGCUCAGAUUGAACGCUGGCGGCAGGCCUAACACAUGCAAGUCGAGCGUAGCACAGAGAGCUUGCUCUCGGGUGACGAGCGGCGGACGGGUGAGUAAUGUCUGGGAAACUGCCUGAUGGAGGGGGAUAACUACUGGAAACGGUAGCUAAUACCGCAUAACGUCGCAAGACCAAAGUGGGGGACCUUCGGGCCUCAUGCCAUCAGAUGUGCCCAGAUGGGAUUAGCUAGUAGGUGGGGUAACGGCUCACCUAGGCGACGAUCCCUAGCUGGUCUGAGAGGAUGACCAGCCACACUGGAACUGAGACACGGUCCAGACUCCUACGGGAGGCAGCAGUGGGGAAUAUUGCACAAUGGGCGCAAGCCUGAUGCAGCCAUGCCGCGUGUGUGAAGAAGGCCUUCGGGUUGUAAAGCACUUUCAGCGGGGAGGAAGGCGUUAAGGUUAAUAACCUUGGCGAUUGACGUUACCCGCAGAAGAAGCACCGGCUAACUCCGUGCCAGCAGCCGCGGUAAUACGGAGGGUGCAAGCGUUAAUCGGAAUUACUGGGCGUAAAGCGCACGCAGGCGGUCUGUCAAGUCGGAUGUGAAAUCCCCGGGCUUAACCUGGGAACUGCAUUCGAAACUGGCAGGCUAGAGUCUUGUAGAGGGGGGUAGAAUUCCAGGUGUAGCGGUGAAAUGCGUAGAGAUCUGGAGGAAUACCGGUGGCGAAGGCGGCCCCCUGGACAAAGACUGACGCUCAGGUGCGAAAGCGUGGGGAGCAAACAGGAUUAGAUACCCUGGUAGUCCACGCCGUAAACGAUGUCGAUUUGGAGGUUGUGCCCUUGAGGCGUGGCUUCCGGAGCUAACGCGUUAAAUCGACCGCCUGGGGAGUACGGCCGCAAGGUUAAAACUCAAAUGAAUUGACGGGGGCCCGCACAAGCGGUGGAGCAUGUGGUUUAAUUCGAUGCAACGCGAAGAACCUUACCUGGUCUUGACAUCCACAGAACUUUCCAGAGAUGGAUUGGUGCCUUCGGGAACUGUGAGACAGGUGCUGCAUGGCUGUCGUCAGCUCGUGUUGUGAAAUGUUGGGUUAAGUCCCGCAACGAGCGCAACCCUUAUCCUUUGUUGCCAGCGGUCCGGCCGGGAACUCAAAGGAGACUGCCAGUGAUAAACUGGAGGAAGGUGGGGAUGACGUCAAGUCAUCAUGGCCCUUACGACCAGGGCUACACACGUGCUACAAUGGCAUAUACAAAGAGAAGCGACCUCGCGAGAGCAAGCGGACCUCAUAAAGUAUGUCGUAGUCCGGAUUGGAGUCUGCAACUCGACUCCAUGAAGUCGGAAUCGCUAGUAAUCGUAGAUCAGAAUGCUACGGUGAAUACGUUCCCGGGCCUUGUACACACCGCCCGUCACACCAUGGGAGUGGGUUGCAAAAGAAGUAGGUAGCUUAACCUUCGGGAGGGCGCUUACCACUUUGUGAUUCAUGACUGGGGUGAAGUCGUAACAAGGUAACCGUAGGGGAACCUGCGGUUGGAUCACCU